rnacentral:misc_RNA from 1 species
GAAAUGCGAUAAGUAAUGUGAAUUGCAGAAUUUAGUGAAUCAUCGAGUUUUUGAACGCACAUUGCGCCCCUUGUAACUGAUGGGCAUGCCUGUUCGAGCGUCAUUUAAACCCUCAGCGCCAGCUGGUGUUGGGCCACGCCAUCCCGGCGGGCUCGAAAUUCAGAGGCGACGUGCCAACCGACAGUGGACAAGAGUCUGGCUCCGGUUGCAACACGUCCGCCAAAGAUCAUACAUUUUUGACCUCGGAUCAGGUAGGAAUACCCGCUGAACUUAA